rnacentral:tRNA from 1 species
GGGCGAUUAGUUAAGUGGCAUAAUGAAGGUUUCCAAAACCUUAGUCGGGGGUUCGAUUCCCUCAUCGCCCG